CUGUCAUGGAUUCUCUCCUAACUGGCUCCUCCCUGCCCUCAGGUCUUCUAAAAGGGUCUCGCACUUACUGCACACGGAGCCGUCCGGCACUGGUGGAGGUCAGCACAGACUGCAUUUCAUUUUACAUUCCUGGCCUCCCCUCCCUGUUGUCUGCUUCCGUGGCUGGAAUACAGGCCGAGGUCACCCAGAGCUGCAGCUGCCAGUGGUUUAAUAGCUGUAGAGUGAACAGGUGGGUGAGUGAGUGCACAAGUCCCUGCCCACAGUCACCUGUCUCCCCAGCUAGUGUGGAGGUGCCAGCAGCCCUCACAUUCUGUAGAGCCAGGUCCAGGGCCUGAGGGUCGCAUCAAGCUCCCCGAGACCACCGGGGCUUGGUGGUUCCCUGGCAGGCUUCACAAGUCAGCACAUUGCUGUACUCACUGCGGUGACUUUCUACCGUGAAAGGGCAGGAACACAACCAGAAGGGCAAGGCCCACGGGCCUGCUGGUUUCCCUCCACCCCUCCACUGCCCGAGGCUGUGCAGGGGCAGGAGAACCAGGCCCCACGACCAGCUUCAUCUGCCUCGGGAGGGAGCAGUGCUUCCAGCCACAGCGGAUCAGUCUGGAUUUUACUUCCAUUUCAGGUUUUGACGCCUGAGAUGGCCUUUCCAUGCAGAGGGCACAGUACAGUUUCCUCUUAAAGGCAGUGUCUCAAAAGGUCUCGGGAAAUGAGUCCAAGUGAAGUAAAAGUGCGAGGUGAGUAGUACUACAGGUGUGGGAGGGGGCAGUCUUGAAGGAGGUGUCCACUGAUGCAGGAAGCAGAAGCCAAGGAGGGUGCGUGAAGCCAGUCUGAGCGGCACGGAAGUCAAGCAGUGGGAUUCCCCAGUGCACCUUCACUUUCUUCUUUUCCUACGGAAAGCAAUGAUCUCCCAAGAAGCCCUUCGGAUACUUUCUUUCCUCUGGGACUUUAUUGUAAGAAAUGUAAGGAUCCAGCCAGGAUCCCCCAUGCUGAGAACCCCGUGUUCAGUGAUUGCAGUGAUAAUACCAGGGGCUUCUGUUGAGUACUUGGUAUGUGUGAGGUGCAGUCACUAACUCAUGAUGCUCAGACACCCCGCAGGUCGGAGCCAUCGCUGUCUGCACUUUGCAGGUGAGGAAGCCAAGACCCAGUUACCAUGACAGUGUGUACUUGGAGCUGUCUGGAGGUCCAGCUGGACCUUUGUGGCUCCUAAGCGGGGCAGUGCCCUGGUCCUGGCCCGCCAUGACUUGUCAGCAGAGGAAGCACCGAGGGUUCAUGAAGUGCCUUACUCUUUAACUCGUCUCUCCUCUUCACUCUGAACAAAUGACUCAACUCCUCUGUGCCCUGUACCCUUCUCUGUAAAAUGGGGACAAUAAUGUCUAGCACUUGAGGCUUUUGAAAUUAAAUGACAUAAU
rnacentral:lncRNA from 1 species